rnacentral:rRNA from 1 species
GACGAACGCUGGCGGCGUGCUUAACACAUGCAAGUCGAACGGAAAGGCCCUGCUUUUGUGGGGUGCUCGAGUGGCGAACGGGUGAGUAACACGUUAGUAACCUGCCCUUGACUUUGGGAUAACUUCAGGAAACUGGGGCUAAUACCGGAUAGGAGCUCCUGCUGCAUGGUGGGGGUUGGAAAGUUUCGGCGGUUGGGGAUGGACUCGCGGCUUAUCAGCUUGUUGGUGGAGUAGUGGCUUACCAAGGCUUUGACGGGUAGCCGGCCUGAGAGGGUGACCGGGAAAAUGGGGAGAGAGAUACGGCCGGGAGUCGUAAGGGAGACAGCAGUGGGGAAUAUUGCACAAUGGGCGGAAGCCGGAUGCAGCAAGGCCGCGUGCUGGAUGAUGGCCUUCGGGUUGUAAAGGGGUUUAGCCGGUGACGAAGCGUGAGUGACGGUAAUGUGUAAAGAAGCACCGGCUAACUACGUG